GACGAACGCUGGCGGCGUGCUUAACACAUGCAAGUCGAACGGAAAGGCCCCUUCGGGGUACUCGAGUGGCGAACGGGUGAGUAACACGUGGGUGAUCUGCCCUGCACUUUGGGAUAAGCCUGGGAAACUGGGUCUAAUACCGAAUAGGACCGCAUGCUUCAUGGUGUGUGGUGGAAAGCUUUUGCGGUGUGGGAUGGGCCCGCGGCCUAUCAGCUUGUUGGUGGGGUAAUGGCCUACCAAGGCGACGACGGGUAGCCGGCCUGAGAGGGUGUCCGGCCACACUGGGACUGAGAUACGGCCCAGACACCUACGGGUGGCAG
rnacentral:rRNA from 1 species